rnacentral:rRNA from 1 species
CGUAAAGAGCUCGUAGGUGGUUUGUCGCGUUGUUCGUGAAAUCUCACGGCUUAACUGUGAGCGUGCGGGCGAUACGGGCAGACUUGAGUACUGCAGGGGAGACUGGAAUUCCUGGUGUAGCGGUGGAAUGCGCAGAUAUCAGGAGGAACACCGGUGGCGAAGGCGGGUCUCUGGGCAGUAACUGACGCUGAGGAGCGAAAGCGUGGGGAGCGAACAGGAUUAGAUACCCUGGUAGUCCACGCCGUAAACGGUGGGUACUAGGUGUGGGUUUCCUUCCUUGGGAUCCGUGCCGUAGCUAACGCAUUAAGUACCCCGCCUGGGGAGUACGGCCGCAAGGCUAAAACUCAAAGAAAUUGACGGGGGCCCGCACAAGCGGCGGAGCAUGUGGAUUAAUUCGAUGCAACGCGAAGAACCUUACCUGGGUUUGACAUGCACAGGACGCCGGCAGAGAUGUCGGUUCCCUUGUGGCCUGUGUGCAGGUGGUGCAUGGCUGUCGUCAGCUCGUGUCGUGAGAUGUUGGGUUAAGUCCCGCAACGAGCGCAACCCUUGUCUCAUGUUGCCAGCGGGUAAUGCCGGGGACUCGUGAGAGACUGCCGGGGUCAACUCGGAGGAAGGUGGGGAUGACGUCAAGUCAUCAUGCCCCUUAUGUCCAGGGCUUCACACAUGCUACAAUGGCCGGUACGAAGGGCUGCGAUGCCGCGAGGUUAAGCGAAUCCUUUUAAAGCCGGUCUCAGUUCGGAUCGGGGUCUGCAACUCGACCCCGUGAAGUCGGAGUCGCUAGUAAUCGCAGAU